ensembl:ncRNA F48B9.10 ncRNA
CAUUUUUGUUUCUUUUUGUUUAGAUAAAAAUAAUUAAUAGGCCUUGUCGCAUUUUCAAAUUUGUGAACAAUAAAAAUAAACUGCAACGUUUUGAAAUAGUUUGAGAAGGUGACAUGACCAGUCGCUACUACUUCAAGCUUAAUCCAAAAAGUGAAAUACUUGGCUAGCUGUUGGGAACGAUUAGAAGCCCGCUUGGUCUU